UGGGGAAUAUUGCACAAUGGGCGGAAGCCUGAUGCAGCAACGCCGCGUGCGGGAUGACGGCCUUCGGGUUGUAAACCGCUUUCGCCUGUGACGAAGCGUGAGUGACGGUAAUGGGUAAAGAAGCACCGGCUAACUACGUGCCAGCAGCCGCGGUGAUACGUAGGGUGCGAGCGUUGUCCGGAUUUAUUGGGCGUAAAGGGCUCGUAGGUGGUUGAUCGCGUCGGAAGUGUAAUCUUGGGGCUUAACCCUGAGCGUGCUUUCGAUACGGGUUGACUUGAGGAAGGUAGGGGAGAAUGGAAUUCCUGGUGGAGCGGUGGAAUGCGCAGAUAUCAGGAGGAACACCAGUGGCGAAGGCGGUUCUCUGGGCCUUUCCUGACGCUGAGGAGCGAAAGCGUGGGGAGCGAACAGGCUUAGAUACCCUGGUAGUCCACGCUGUAAACGGUGGGUACUAGGUGUGGGGUCCAUUCCACGGGUUCCGCGCCGUAGCUAACGCUUUAAGUACCCCGCCUGGGGAGUACGGCCGCAAGGCUAAAACUCAAAGGAAUUGAC
rnacentral:rRNA from 1 species